rnacentral:rRNA from 1 species
UACGUAGGGUGCAAGCGUUGUCCGGAAUUAUUGGGCGUAAAGAGCUCGUAGGCGGUCUGUUGCGUCGGCUGUGAAAACCCGGGGCUCAACUCCGGGCCUGCAGCCGAUACGGGCAGACUAGAGUUCGGCAGGGGAGACUGGAAUUCCUGGUGUAGCGGUGAAGUGCGCAGAUAUCAGGAGGAACACCGGUGGCGAAGGCGGGUCUCUGGGCCGAUACUGACGCUGAGGAGCGAAAGCGUGGGGAGCAAACAGG